rnacentral:rRNA from 1 species
GAUGAACGCUGGCGGCGUGCCUAAUACAUGCAAGUCGAACGAGGUGCUUGAGUAGCAAUACGAGAGUAUCCUAGUGGCGAACGGGUGAGUAACGCGUUGGUGACCUACCCCAAAGUGUGGGAUAACAGUCCGAAAGGAUUGCUAAUACCGCAUGUGGUUAUCGGAUUUAGAAACUGAUAUCUAAAGGAGCAAUUCGCUUUGGGAGGGACCUGCGUCCCAUCAGCUAGUUGGUGAGGUAAUGGCUCACCAAGGCUACGACGGGUAGGGGACCUGAGAGGGUGACCCCCCACAAUGGAACUGAAACACGGUCCAUACACCUACGGGUGGCAGCAGUAGGGAAUAUUGCACAAUGGGCGAAAGCCUGAUGCAGCAACGCCGCGUGUGCGAUGAAGGCCCUCGGGUCGUAAAGCACUUUUCUGAGAGAUGAGCAAGGACAGUAUCUCAGGAAUAAGUCUCGGCUAACUCCG